CAAAAACAAUUCUACAGGAAAAAAACGAUUCUACAUAUGCCCGUCUCUCUAUCCCCACGAGAACACGAACCAUCCCGGCCGCCCGGCGCUAGGGUUCCCUCCGCCGCCGCGCCCCAUCCCUCCGCUCCCAGCAACCCUCUCCACCCUCUCCCAUCCCCAGUCGUCGUCGUAGCCCCUCGCCGCCGUUCGAUAUCCAAGACGGAGCCUCGGCCGACAGCUCCUUGGAGCACGCCGCCCGCCGGUGGAUGCCCUGAUUCUGCGCGACCCCGCCGGAGACUCACCUCGCCACCUUGGCGCCUCCCGCAGGAUCUCCGCCACCGCCUAGCGCUUCUGUGCGCAAGGAUGCCGACGCCUCUCCCUGGUACCUCUAUCUCCACUCCCUCGGGGCGCUGCUCACUGCUCCACACCCCUUUCCUCUCCCAUCCAAUACGGCUCACGGCCUGCUACAGACGCCUGCCGGCUCCCGUGCAGGCCCUCCUGGUGGACAGCCUCCAGCCCACACAAGCUUCCCUGUUCUGGCUCUGUCGCCUACCAUGGUUGAGUAGAGCGAGGAGAUCGAGACGGGAAAUAGUCACUUGAUUUUUGCGGAUUAUGUUGAGCAUGGAGAUUGAUCUUAACUUUUUGGUUGUCCGCAGAUUCAAUGAUGACAACACGCACACCUUUCCCUGAUGCUUGGGCAAAGGCAUGUAUGUCCGAUGUGCAGGCAAAACUUUAUAGAUGCAGAUUACAUACAUUAGAAAUUGCCAACUCGGUGGAUGAUACCUACUAUGACUUGGGACCCAGAAAAAAGAUCAACACGUAGAUGCAGAUUACAUAGAUCAGGACUUGCUAACUCGGCGUAUGACACAUACUAAACGACAUCAACACGUAGGUAUGAGAGUUCGGAAUAUCCAACACGUAGGUGAGGCACGGGCUAUCACCGAGGUGAAGAAUUCUCUCCCGAUUGGUCUUACACAUGGAUGGCGCGCACUGCAAUUUUAUUUUCUUUUGAGCUGGAUGGCACUGCGCAAUCUGAUGUAGUGGAGUGGUUCAGUCUAUAAAUUGGUUUUGGCACAUUCAAAAUUAUUAGCUAGAUUUAAUCGUGAAUUCAUCUGGUUCUAUACAUGUUCUAGAGGUUUAGAGGUUUAGUUGCAAGGAUACCAUAUCGUAAGAUGCACAUUCACAUCUGAAGGUUAAAUGUAUUCAACAAAUCGGGUGACCAUGCGGUUGGAUCGCUGUUAUAUAUUGGUGAAAUAGGAACUUCUCUUUGAAAUAUGUACAUGAUUAUUUUUUGUCAUACUUGCAAAAAUCUCCUCCAUAAUCACUAUGCAUCCAAUGUGUACUUCUUAUCGAAGAUAAAACUAAAUUUUGCAUGCUUUUAUACUGAUAUAUUUGACAGCAGAAUUUUUAAUUCUAAUAUUUUAAAUUGAAGAAAAACUUUGAUAUUUUGUGUUUCCCAAAUUAAAUAGCAUAUGAAAUCAAAAAUAGAAUCUAAAUUACUAUCAUAUGCAAAUCGCUGGUUUGUUGACUAUUUUUAUAAUAACAAAAAGGAGUACUUUUUUUGCCGAUGUUCCAUCCUUUAUCGCCCUUUAAAUAAUUUUAGAUCUUUUUUUGUGGGAGAAAUUGUUUUUAUUUGCAUGUUUUAUUUGGCUGCAAUGCAAUGACAACAUGUUCAGAGUGUAUUCCCGUUGCAACACACGGGCAAUUUUCCUAUUUCCUAUUUCCUAUAUAUAUAUAUCUCCCUAAUAAUAAAGCACGGAUUGACUUUGUCGGGUUCACCGUCACAAUACGCUUCUUCCCAAUAAAGCACGGAUUGACUUUGUCGGGUUCACCGUCACAAUACGCUUCUUCCCAUGAAUUUACGUUUUUAGUUUUUUUCACCUAUAUUAUUUUCUACAUCCGAGGUGAUACUAUUGCUUCUUACCAUCGAAAUUCCGUCCGCUCAGAUCGAACACAAGCGACCUACAGCAUAUUGGGCUUCAACGUGUUCGGCCCAACAAACAAAUCGAGCGAAGAGACCGAUUAGAAGAGCUUCUUCCCAUGAAUUUACGUUUUCAGUUUUUUUCACCUAUAUUAUUUUCUACAUCCUAUUGCUUCUUACCAUCGAAAUUCUGUCCGCUCAGAUCGAACACAAGUGACCUACAGCAUAUUGGGCUUCAACGUGUUCGGCCCAACAAACAAAUCGAACGAAGAGACCGAUUAGAAGACGAAUCAGAGGCCCAAAACAAGACAGAUCCGAACACGUCCUCCGCUCCUAAGUCGGUCAACACGCACGUUCUUCUUUCAUCUCCCACCCCGCAGAAAAAUUCAACCUCCACGGAUCCAUCGCCGCCACCAUACCAAGAUCCGGCGAGAGAGCGAUCGUCCCGGACGUGGGCGACCAUCUGGAACAUGGAGCUGCCAUGAAAACGCUCGAUGUCAUGGAGGGCGAGGUCAAGGUCCGCUACCUCGGCCACGAGCCCACGAUCUCAACUUGAGCUUGUCGAGGCAGAUGUUUUGCGAGCUGCUGGCGCGCCGUGUGCAGCCCCAGCGCCAACAAUAGCCCGAUCAUCCCAGCAGCCGAGGUAGCCAACCGGCUUGGCCUUUGCCCUCGCUGCGCCGCCGUCGAAGUGUGCGGCCGCGGUGGAGUAGCUCUACAGGGCGGCUGCACGGAGGCCGGCAGAAGCUUGUGAAGAGCCAUGACUGUGAUCGAUAGCAGCAAUCGCGAUUUUGAAUUCUUCUUUUGUUUCCCUUUGAGUUGAUGGGGCUAGAUGUACUUCAGACAAGGCUUCAACAAGGAAGAGCGGAAGACCACUAAUACUUUUUAGUAUUGGAUGAUGUAGUGUACUAUCUAUCUAUCCAUUCAAGAAAAUUGAUGGCGAUGGAAUCCGCGUGUGUGCGUGUGUGGCUGUGCCUCUGGUCGCUCGAUGGUUUUUCGGGUUCAGUAAAGUAAGAAACUGUUGGUCCUAUUCUGAAUUCUAAUAAUGUUGAUCACCAGGGAGAGGGAGAUCAGAGGACGGAUGGAAGGGAUGGCGACAACGUUAUAUUCGAAAGGGAAUAACGCUGGAAUACCUUGCUAUUGCUACCUGUUAGAGUGCAUAAUUAUGAAGUAAAUUACUUGGCACUGCUUAGUUGCCAAACUUGACAGUUGCUAAGACCUUCUGUCGACAAGAUACACAAACAUACAAUUCCAUGGUACUAUGUAGAGUAUUCAAAGAGGUCAUCUUCAUGAAGCUAGCAGAGGAUAGACAUUAGGAAAAAUGAGAGAUGAGGUGAGUUUUUGUUGUUCACCAUCCAAUUCAAGCAUCACACAAAUUAAGCAUUACUAUUCAAAAGAUGCAGAGUUAACCCGUUCAUCCUUUCUAGAGGAAUUAAUAAGUUAAAAUUUGUGUCCCGUUGCAACGCACGGGCUCUUUUUUGCUAGUAAUAAUAAUAAUAAUAAUAAUAAUAAUGUAAUAAUAAUAAUAAUUAAUAAUAAUAAUAAAGCACGGAUUGACUUUGUCGGAUUCACCGUCACAAUACGUUUCUUCCCGUGAAUUUACGCUUUCAGUUUUUUUCUUCAACACGUCUAUAUUUAUUUUCUAUAUCCAAGGUGGUACUAAUCUAUCUAUAUAUCCCCGCUGGAUUGUUGUUUUCGUCUACCCCGUUUAGGUGAUUUUUUUUGUCCUAUACAUGUUGCUCUACACACGUGUAAGGGAAAAAAAACACAAAAGCACUGCAGACAAAGUCUACACGUUUGGCUUGAUGAAGAAUAAAGGAAAAAUGAACUACAGUUUGUCUAAUUCACAUCUAGAUUUUUUUUAAGGAUGUCGCAUCUAAGCUUCCACGAGUAUAUAAUGUAGCAAUAAGAAAUAAAAAAACUAGGACAAAAAAAUAGACCACAAACAGAGUGAACAUUAGCUUAGAUGUGACAUAACUAGAUGUGUCCUAGACAGACCCAAUGAACUAGGCAUGUCCUGCUGGACUCGAUGGAAAAAAGGAAAACAACUCUUGACGACUCGGAUUGGAAUCCUACUGUGUAAUAUCCCUUCCUUAAUCUGACCGUCUCUGUUUGUACCUAUUUGAGACGAAAAGGAGAUCACGGUGGGUUAGGUCAUUGGCGAUAGCUACCUCCGAUGCAUCUGACGAGAUCCGUGUCUCGCCUACUCAAGGUUCCGUCGAUGAGGUCGAUCGGCUCAACCGCCGAUGCGAGCCCCCGCGGCUCGAUCCUACAUCGACUACAAUCUGAGGCCUGCACGAUCACAGUCCCACGCGAAGGAACGACGGAGCUCCAUGACCGAGCGCUGCGUCGGCGUACAGACACAGAUUAGAGGUGGCCGCAAACCAGCAGCGCUUGGUGGAUUCAUUGUGUCCUGCCGAUGAUGCUGGUUGGACUGGACCUGGAGAAAGAACACUCAGCUAGGAUGAACAUCCAGCAUGACUGUAUGAUGACGACGUUCCCUGAUUUACUGAAGACUGCGUACGAGUGGAUCAUCGCCACCUCCGAGGCCAACUCGCUCAUCUUCUCCAACUAUGAGUAGCUCCUCUACGAGUUCAACAUAGAUAUUGCCAGUCAUGAAUCAUGAUCAGUGCUGGUCGGAUGAUUACUUAGGCCAUCGAGCUGCCUAACGGCGAGGCGAGGAAGCCAUGUUCCUAUGUCAAGCUGGUGUCUGACCUCGUCAGCGCGGAGCCACAGUGGACAAGUUCACCAACACCAUCGACGAGGAGGCAUAUAACAGGCACCACCGGAGCACCUACACCCACCCCCUCCGGACAUCGAACCGGAACUCUAUUUGACAGCCCCAGUGUUUCAUCAGGUACAUGCAAAAGACAGUCAUAGGGCGCUUCCUAAUCAAGUCCUGAUCAAGUCGUGGUGUUGAUGAACGUCUAUUUGGCACUUAAUUACCCAACGAAAGGUGAAGCGUUUGUGAGGCGCAUGCAUGCGAGAGAGUCGACGACAAGUAAUUGUUGGCGGCAGCUUCAUCACAUCAUCAUGUUUGGUUUGUUCUCUACACGUACGUAUGCAAGGAGUUGAAAAAGUACUCGCCGGCGGCAGCUCAUCAUCUGCUAAUGUUUGCUUUGGCCUCUGCAUCGACACGUAUGUAUCUCCUGUUGCACUCAAGUUGAUGUGGGAAUCAUGCAGGUUUGAUCUACGCCCAUCCUUAAAAACCCGAUGUUUGAUUAUUACUCAGUAUGCUUUAGAUCUUUUCAAAAAGAAAUUAUACUGAUUUUCUCUGAACCAAGUAUAUUCAUACGACUGCUGGGUUAAUAAUUGAAAGCACGAGGGUACAUAUUGUUUGCUAA